CAAGUACAUAUGUUUUCCGUUUUUGCUAAUGAAGCUGGAAAAAGCUAAUCCUGAACUUCCAAUGAUUUUAUAAAAGCGUUUCAGAACUGUAUUCUGAUAAAGGGCCUGGAUGAAUGGUUUAGAUUGCCAGCAGAGGAUGACCUGGAUUGGACUGGGCUCAGCUGAAAUGAGCAGAAACCCGUGGGGUCAGGGUGAGUUGAAUCCCAUGUCAGGAUUGUCCCCACACUGACCUGUGCCUGACUGGCCUUCCAGCAAAAAGCCCCUGUGAAGGCGAAGAGGGCUGAGCUGAUCCGAAGGUGAAAAACAUCCUCCUCCUCCUCCUUUCUCCUCUCCCCCAGCUGAACAUCUGUCUCCGUGGUGUUGGCUGCAGCACUGAGUCUGACACCUCCAGAUGGAGAGCCCGCUGGGAGCGCUGAGGUAUUACCUACAGAGAUGGCAGAGAUCGCACCUCUGGAAUGAAGUCCCACACUUGUUUUCCACACGGUCCCCCUUUUUUGUUGUUGAAUCUGUCACUAUUCACCUUAUCGAUUGUCGCCUUCCCAGUCCUUGGCCUUGCGACUCAUCUGAAGAGCAGGCUGUUGGUUUGUAAAGAAAUGCAUGUCACCAAACCUCUCUGCUCCUUUUCUAAUUUACAGUAAUGGGCCGUAUGGUAUUUCAACUGUAACUUCUAUUCGUAGGACUGUAUCAAUUUUUAAUAUAGUUGUGAGAGGACUGCAUACUCAUGCAGAUAUAUUUCAAAUGAUUUCCAUUUCCUUAAAACUUGCUUUUGAGCAGCCUCGGAGAGAUUAAAGUUUGCACAAUCUGGAGCACAACCUAAAUGACCUACAACCUUAUUAGUCUCAAUAUUAAAAGCAAUACCUGCAAAGAUCUGAGAGACUUAGAGCGCACUUCUCUGAGCCUCUCUGGUGUCUUGACAGAUUGACUCUGCAUUCAUUUGUGCCUGAACUCUGUGUGAACCUCAGCUUUGGGGAAAGGGGCAGCAACAGGCCAGUGCUGUCGGGGCAGAAACUGUGUGCAAACCUAACACCCAGUGCAAAUAUUGAAACUGCUGCCCCUUCAACAUCACAAGAACGUAGGCGGUCAGGUCCGGCGAGCCUUUGGCUAAAGGUGAAACCAGAGUAAGCACUGAGAGGUUAAUUGGUUUCAUCAUUUUAAAAGAAAGAUUGUUACAUUUUAUAAGAUACAA